GUCACUGAGAGCCAGGGGGGAUGUGGGGCUGGCUCUCAGUCCCUGCCUCGUGGGGGGUGCCUCCCCCCCCAUGAUGGGGGUCGUGAGAGCCCGGGGUGAUCAGGGGCUGGCUCUCAGUCCACGCCUCUCGGGGGGUGCCUCCCCCCCUGCGAUGGGGUCACUGAGAUCCAGGGGGAAGAGGGGCUGGCUCUCAGUCCCUGCCUCGUUGGGGGUGCCUCCCCCCCCUGCGAUGGGGGUCAUGAGAGCCGGGGGGGAUGAGGGGCUGGCUCUCAGUCCCCGCCUCGCUGGGGGUGCCUCCCCCCCCUGCGAUGGGGACCCUAAGGGCCAGGGGGGAUGUGGGGCUGGCUCUCAGUCCCUGCCUCGUGGGGGGUGCCUCCCCCUCCUGCGAUGGUGGUCCUAAGAGCCAGAGGGGGAAGAGGGGCUGGCUCUCAGUCCCUGCCUCGUGGGGGGUGCCUCCCCCUCCUGCGAUGGUGGUCCUAAGAGCCAGAGGGGGAAGAGGGGCUGGCUCUCAGUCCCUGCCUCGUUGGGGGUGCCUCCCCCCCCUGCGAUGGGGGUCAUGAGAGCCGGGGGGGAUGAGGGGCUGGCUCUCAGUCCCCGCCUCGCGGGGGGUGCCUGCCCCCCCUGCGAUGGGGGCCCUAAGGGCCAGGGGGGAUGUGGGGCUGGCUCUCAGUCCCUGCCUCGUGGGGGGUGCCUCCCCCCCCUGCGAUGGGGGUCCUGAGUCCACAGUCUACAAUACCCCACAGCUCCCAAGAAUUCCCUCACCUGCCUUCUGCCCUUAGGCUCUGGUAGAUUGUAAAUAACCUGCUUUCUUUCUGUUCCCGGGCGGUGUCGAACCCCUGUCGGAGAGUAAAUCCGAAGUAAGGUACCUGCCGUGGGCAGAUUUGAGCUUUCUUCUUGGACACCUAAUACCCACAGUCCUCCAGGCUCCGGUAGAUUGCAAAUGACCUGCUUUCUUUCUGUUCCCGGCGUUUGGACCCCUGUCGGAUAGUAAAUCCCAAGUAAAGUACCUGCCGUGGGCAGAUUUGAGCUUUCUUCUUGGACACCUAAUACCCAGAGUCGUCCAGGCUCCGGUAGAUUGCAAAUGACCUGCUUUCUUUCUGUUCCCGGCGUUUGGACCCCUGUCGGAUAGUAAAUCCCAAGUAAGGUACCUGCCGUGGGCAGAUUUGAGCUUUCUUCUUGGACACCUAAUACCCAGAGUCGUCCAGGUGGGUCCUUAAGGUUCUUAGGAUCCCCGAUGGGGGUCCUAAGCCAGGGGGGGAUGAGGGGCUGGCUCUCAGUCCCGGCUUCGUGGGGGGUGCCUCCCCCCCCUGCGAUGGGGGCCCUAAGAGCCAGGGGGGAUGUGGGUCUGGCUCUCAGUCCCUGCCUCGUGGGGGGUGCCUCCCCCCCCUUGAUGGGGGUAGUGAGAGCCCGGGGUGAUCAGGGGCUGGCUCUCAGUGCACGCCUCUUGGGGGUGCCUCCCCCCCUGCGAUGGGGUCACUGAGAGCCAGGGGGGAUGUGGGGCUGGCUCUCAGUCCCUGCCUCGUGGGGGGUGCCUCCCCCCCCCAUGAUGGGGGUCGUGAGAGCCCGGGGUGAUCAGGGGCUGGCUCUCAGUCCACGCCUCUCGGGGGGUGCCUCCCCCCCUGCGAUGGGGUCACUGAGAUCCAGGGGGAAGAGGGGCUGGCUCUCAGUCCCUGCCUCGUUGGGGGUGCCUCCCCCCCCUGCGAUGGGGGUCAUGAGAGCCGGGGGGGAUGAGGGGCUGGCUCUCAGUCCCCGCCUCGCUGG